AGUUCUUCUGUAAACAAACUCUGAUGUACAUAUCUCUAACCUUACACAGUAAUGAAGAGACUUCAACCUCAAUAUUACUCUUUAUGGUAUCAGAGCCUAACUCUCUAACGAGAAUCAGUUUUUUUUAAUCUUCUUCUUUUCUUUUGCUUCUACAAUAGACUUUCAUCAUGUCAGAAUCAUCUAGCACACCAUCUAUUGUGCACUCCUUUACACCUGGUGCUGCCAACGUUGUUCCUCCAUUACAUCAAAUUAUCACCUUUAAUCCAGCCUCACAACUGCCAAUCAAACUUUCCAACAAUGCAAAUUUCUCCACAUGGAAGGCACAAGUUCUAACUCUCAUGUGUGGAUAUGACCUGUUUCACUUUCUUGAUGGUUCUAUUUCACCACCGUCUCAAAUUGAUGCUGAUUUGACGGUCUGGUUCGACAAGACAAUCUUAUCUGUAAUGCCUUAAUAGCAUCUGUAGAACCCACAAUAGCACCGACUGUUGCUUCAUCCUUGACCUCGAACCAGGCUUGGGAUCAUCUACAUACCACAUAUGCUAACAAAUCUCAGACUCGUAUCUUUACUCUUCGAGACAUUUUGUCCAAAAUCACUAAAGACAGCAAAUCCAUCACUGAUUACUUGAGAGAGAUACGCUCAAUUUCAGAUGAGUUAGCUGCAACUAGUUCUCCGAUUGAUGCAUCUGAGCUUACUGUCAAAGUACUCAGUGGAUUGGGGCCAGACUAUAAAGAUAUAAGUGAUGUGAUUUGUGCUAAAGACACUCUUAUCAGUUUUGAAGAGAUGCAAGACAAGCUUGCUGAUCAUGAACUUUUCCUCAAACAUGAGGAAGCAAAAAAACCAGCAGCUCCUAUUACGGUUCAGAUUGGACAAUCACCUCGUGGGAAUAAUUCUAGCUCAAAUGCAUCCGAAUCACGUUCCAACCUUCGUGGGAAUAAUUCAUCAGGCUCAAGAACCUCUACUAGACAGUUCCGUCCUCAAUAUUAUGGCAAUUUCAGACCAUUCAUCAAUAAUAAUCAGCGAGUUUUCCAAGUACCACAACAACAAUCGCAAGGUUGGAGGCCUUCUAAUCGGUCCAGAACUUAGUGUCAGUUAUGUGGGGAUUACGGACAUAUAGCAUCUAACUGCCGUUCCCACUCUCAUAAUCAUUUUGAAGCCAAAGCCAUAUUUGCUGCCAAUAACAGUCAUGAUUAUAAUCCAUGGGUGGUGAACAGUGGAGCUAAUCAACAUGUCAGGGAUAAUCCCAUGAAUCUUGCGCGUCUGCAUGAAUAUACAGACUUAGAAUGUAUCACUAUGGGCAAUGGUAAUUGUAUUCCUAUCACCCAUACAGGUUCUAUUUCUCUUCCUACACCCAACCGCAAUUUUUCUUUAUCUGAUGUUCUUUGUGCUCCUAACAUUCAAAAGAAAUUAAUUUCUGUUUCAAAGUUUACUAAGCAAAUAAAUACCUCCAUUGAAUUCCUUCCCCAUUAUUUUCUUGUGAGGGAUUUGAGCACGGGGGCACCUCUGGUUCGCGGGAUGAAUAACGAUGAUCCCGUUCUCACAAUCAUUUUGAAGCCAAAGCCAUAUUUGCUGCCAAUAACAGUCAUGAUUAUAAUCCAUGGGUGGUGGACAGUGGAGCUAAUCAACAUGUCAGGGAAAAUCCCAUGAAUCUUGCCUGUCUGCAUGAAUAUACAGACUCAGAAUGUAUCACUAUGGGUAAUGGUAACUGUAUUCCUAUCACCUAUACAGGUUCUGUUUCUCUUUCUACACCCAACUGCAAUUUUUCUUUAUGUAAUGUUCUUUGUGCUCCUAACAUUCAAAAGAAAUUAAUUUCUAUUUCAAAGUUUACUAAGCAAAUAAAUACCUCCAUUGAAUUCCUUCCCCAUUAUUUUCUUGUGAGGGAUUUGACCACGGAGGCACCUCUGGUUCGCGGGAUGAAAAAAGAUGAUCUGUAUGUGUGGCCAUUUCAACAUUUCAAGCCUGUCCAAUUUUCUACCAAUUUCGCUGUGUCACUACCAAGUCCUGAGGUCUGGCAUCAUCGUCUAGGUCACCCCAAUGUCCGUAAUCUUAAGUCAGUGAUACAUUCUUAUUCAUUUGCAUUGUGUUAAGUUCAAUAUGUUCUCUUCAUGUAAUUCGUGUCUCUGUAAUAAGAGUACCAGACUUCCAUUUUCGCAUAAUACGUUAAAAAGCACAAAGCCAUUAAAUCUUAUUUAUACGAAUUUUUGGGGCCCCUUUUCAAUAGAAUCAAUUGAUAAAAAGAGGUUUUAUGUCAUUUUUGUUGAUCAUUAUUCGAAAUACACGUGGAUUUUUCCUAUUACCAAAAAAAGUGAUGUUGCAUCCAUAUUUUCCACCUUUAAAUCAACUGUUGAAAAUUUCUUUGAGGUCAAAAUAAAAACUGUUUAUUCUGAUGGAGGAGGUGAAUACUUAGGUCUUAAAAGUUUUCUUUCUUCCACUGGAAUUCAACACAUGGUGUCACCACCAUACACACCUCAACGUGUAGCUCAGGCUGAAAGAAAACAUCGUCACAUAGUUGAAACUACCCGAACCUUAUUACAUCAAGCAUCUCUUUCGUAAAAAUUUUGGUCCUUUGCGUGUGCAACAGCUGUGUUUCUAACAAAUCGUCUACCUUCGACAACCCUUGCUUCUCAUUCACCAUAUCAAAUUCUUUUUAAUUGUGAUCCUUCUUUCUCUAAAAUACGUACAUUUGGGACUAUGUGCUACCCUUGGCUCAAACCAUGCACCAAUCAUAAACUUGAACUGAGAUCGCGUCUAUUUGUCUAUCUAGGUUUUUCAUCCCAAUAUCAUUACCAUCAAUGUUUUGAUCCUUUAGCAUGAAAAUUAUUUCUUACUCGGGAUGUGAUUUUUUUGGAGCACAUUUUUCCUUAUCAGACCAUAUUCAAAGAUAUUGAGUCCACCAUAGAUGCUACUACUUGGUACUCUCAAAAUCAUGUUAAUAAUGAGUAGAAUUCUAGUUUGCAAUCUGACCUCACGUUGAAUGAGUAUAUACCCGUGCCACUUUUUGUUAACAAGUCAGCAGCUCCUUGUUAAGUGGCCACACCUACAUCUUCAUCUGCUUUAACCGUUGUACACGAUGGGUCUUCAGAAUCCUCUCCAUCUCUAGUUGUUCCACAUCGAAAUGUUCCUACCACUGUUACACAGGCCCAGCGUGAUGCUCAUUGGCAACAAGCCAUGAGGGAUGAAUUUGAUGCUUUGCUUUGAAAUCAAACUUGGGAAUUGGUUCCAAAACAACAAAAUCAAAAUGUUGUUGGGUGCAAGUGGCUGUUUCGGAUUAAGUAUAAAGCAAAUGAUGAGCUUGACAAAUACAAGGCACAGCUUGUUGCUAAGGGAUUCGCUCAGCGGCCAGAAGUAUAAUAUGCAUGAGAGCAAGGGUGUACAUUCUCCUAUGUCCAACUCAGUUACUUUUCGGUUAGAUGAUGGCUCGGCUGCUACGGAUGUUGAAAAAUAUCAUGAGGUUUUAGGAAAACUACAAUAUCUAUCAUUUACUCGACCAGAUAUUAGUUUUGCGGUUAAUAAAUUGUCUCAAUUUAUGCACUCACCGACAGUUAUAAAUUAGCAAGCGGUAAAGAGAGUGCUCAGGUACUUAAAUCAUACAAUGCAUUAUGGGUUACUACUGAGACAUUCUUCUCCUAUGACUCUACAAGUAUAUAUCGAUGCAGAUUGGGCUAGUGAUCCACAUGAUCGUUCCUCAACAUCUGGUUAUAUCACAUAUCUAGGAACCUCUCCGAUUAACUGGUCAUCAAAAAAACAAAGAACAGUUACCAGGUCUUCAACCGAAGCUGAAUACAGGGCUGUUGUUGGUGCAGUUGCAGAAGCAAAUUGGAUAAUGAAUUUGCUAAAGGAACUUCAUAUAAGAUUGGCACAAGUACCGACUAUUUAUUAUGAUAAUGUUGCUGUCACUUAUCUUUGUAAAAAUCCGGUAUUUCAUAGUUAGAUGAAGCAUAUUGCUGUGGA